GUGCUUGCUUUGGCAGCACUUAUACUAAAAUUGGAAUGAUACAGAGAUUAGCGUGACCACACAUAAAGAUGACACACAAAUUCAUGAAGCAUUCCAUAUUUUU